GGGUUGUGAGGUUAAGCGACUAAGCGUACACGGUGGAUGCCCUGGCAGUCAGAGGCGAUGAAGGACGUGCUAAUCUGCGAUAAGCGUCGGUAAGGUGAUAUGAACCGUUAUAACCGGCGAUUUCCGAAUGGGGAAACCCAGUGUGAUUCGUCACACUAUCAUUAACUGAAUCCAUAGGUUAAUGAGGCGAACCGGGGGAACUGAAACAUCUAAGUACCCCGAGGAAAAGAAAUCAACCGAGAUUCCCCCAGUAGCGGCGAGCGAACGGGGAGCAGCCCAGAGCCUGAAUCAGUAUGUGUGUUAGUGGAAGCGUCUGGAAAGGCGCGCGAUACAGGGUGACAGCCCCGUACACAAAAAUGCACAUGCUGUGAGCUCGAUGAGUAGGGCGGGACACGUGGUAUCCUGUCUGAAUAUGGGGGGACCAUCCUCCAAGGCUAAAUACUCCUGACUGACCGAUAGUGAACCAGUACCGUGAGGGAAAGGCGAAAAGAACCCCGGCGAGGGGAGUGAAAAAGAACCUGAAACCGUGUACGUACAAGCAGUGGGAGCACGCUUAGGCGUGUGACUGCGUACCUUUUGUAUAAUGGGUCAGCGACUUAUAUUCUGUAGCAAGGUUAACCGAAUAGGGGAGCCGAAGGGAAACCGAGUCUUAACUGGGCGUUAAGUUGCAGGGUAUAGACCCGAAACCCGGUGAUCUAGCCAUGGGCAGGUUGAAGGUUGGGUAACACUAACUGGAGGACCGAACCGACUAAUGUUGAAAAAUUAGCGGAUGACUUGUGGCUGGGGGUGAAAGGCCAAUCAAACCGGGAGAUAGCUGGUUCUCCCCGAAAGCUAUUUAGGUAGCGCCUCGUGAAUUCAUCUCCGGGGGUAGAGCACUGUUUCGGCAAGGGGGUCAUCCCGACUUACCAACCCGAUGCAAACUGCGAAUACCGGAGAAUGUUAUCACGGGAGACACACGGCGGGUGCUAACGUCCGUCGUGAAGAGGGAAACAACCCAGACCGCCAGCUAAGGUCCCAAAGUCAUGGUUAAGUGGGAAACGAUGUGGGAAGGCCCAGACAGCCAGGAUGUUGGCUUAGAAGCAGCCAUCAUUUAAAGAAAGCGUAAUAGCUCACUGGUCGAGUCGGCCUGCGCGGAAGAUGUAACGGGGCUAAACCAUGCAC
rnacentral:rRNA from 1 species